UUUGAGACAGAGUCUCGCUCUUUCGCCAGGUGGAGCACAGUGGCACGAUCUCGGCUCACUCCAACCUCCGUCUCCUGGGUUCAAGCGAUUCUCCUGGCUUAGCCUCCGUAGCAGCUGAUUCUACAGGCAUGUGCCACCACACCCAGAUGCUGGUUGUAGUAGCAAUGUGCUGGGUAUGUGAGGAGGUUCACUGCCUCCUAUGGGCUGGAAUGGAAGACGUUUCAUGAAGCAUAUCUUGUUCCCCAGUGGAAUGCUGAUGUUCCAUGUAGAGAGGGAUUAUGACUCCACCUCUCAUAGAAGCCUGAACCUGGAGGGCACUCCUUCUGUGAAGACACAGUCACCCUGAAGCUUUUCAGAAAGGCUGUCUAUGAACACACCCGUAUGGAGGUCUCAUGAGAGAAGCCCCAGCUGUGUCUGUAGUGGUGGGCAAAAGGGAGAAGAAGCCCCCUUAUCCAAGACCCUUCAUGAGCACCAGGGCUGCCUGACUGUUGUAGAGCUGCAGACUUUCCCCACUGAGCUCAGCACUGCACCUGUGCCUCUGCUGAAAGAAACUUCCCACAGGCAGGAAGUUCAGGGACCCAAGGCCUGCAGUCUGGUUACUUUUGUCCCAGGGAGUGCUCCCUUAUUGUCCUUCACUCCCUCUACCCCUGGAAGUAGCAGUCCCUGAGGGCCAUACCACUGUGAACCCUGCUGUCCCUGGGUCUAGCCACCCAGUUGGGCCGCCACCCUCCAGGCUGGUGCUGGAAAUGUCUCCCAGGGAUCCAGUGAUGAGAACUGUUCUCUAGUCUCCCAGCAGUGGGGACCAGCACCAGUUCUAAUGGAGUGGGAGGGGUGUGGCAUCGACUUUGUGAGACUUUCUUGGUUAUAAAUAGACUUAGUGUGUUAGCUUUCUCAAAUGCCAGCUGUAGUCCUAAUGUACUGGGCACUUAGACAGACUCCAGAUCUCCCAGUUAGCCAGGGUAAUGCAGAUGACGGCGAUAGCUGAGGUUGUGCAAAAGAUUUCUCCUUUCUGAGCACUGUGUUAUUUUUUCGCCUGGUUCACACUGUAGGCUGCUGCCCAUUGCUUCUGUCAAAGGGUGGGUGGUUUCUUUCAGGUUUUCUGUUAAGUUCUUGUGUUGGUUCUGAAAGUUCUAGUAUUUUUCCUGUAGCUUUAGACAUCCAACCUGAUAUUACCAAGAUGACUGGGAGUUUGUGGCUAAUGCCUACAGAAGAAGAGAUGCAUCCCUUCCCAGACAUCUUAUCUGUUGCCCUGGGUAAUGAAGACAUUCAAUUUUUAAUUUUUUAAAAUUAUUAUUAUUUUUUGAGAUGGAGUCUUGCUCUGUCGCCUAUACUAGAGUACAGUGCCGCAGUUUUGGCUCACUCUAACCUCCGUCCCC
rnacentral:lncRNA from 1 species